rnacentral:rRNA from 1 species
AUUGAACGCUGGCGGAAUGCUUUACACAUGCAAGUCGAACGGCAGCACGGACUUCGGUCUGGUGGCGAGUGGCGAACGGGUGAGUAAUAUAUCGGAACGUGCCCAGUCGUGGGGGAUAACGUAGUGAAAAUUACGCUAAUACCGCAUACGAUCUAUGGUUGAAAGCGGGGAAUAGCAAGACCACGCGUGAUUGGAGCGGCCGAUAUCAGAUUAGGUAGUUGGUGGGGUAAAGGCCCACCAAGCCAACGAUCUGUAGCUGGUCUGAGAGGACGACCAGCCACACUGGAACUGAGACACGGUCCAGACUCCUACGGGAGGCAGCGGUGGGGAAUUUUGGACAAUGGGCGAAAGCCUGAUCCAGCCAUUCCGCGUGCAGGAUGAAGGCCCUCGGGUUGUAAACUGCUUUUGUACAGAACGAAAAGGUUUCUACUAAUACUAGGAGCUCAUGACGGUACUGUAAGAAUAAGCACCGGCUAACUACGUGCCAGCCGCCGCGGUAA